rnacentral:rRNA from 1 species
AGAAUUUUUCACAAUGGGCGAAAGCCUGAUGGAGCGACGCCGCGUGGGGGAUGAAUGGCUUCGGCCCGUAAACCCCUGUCAUUCGCGAGCAAACGUUAUUAUUUAAAAGAUGAUAGCCUGAUAGUAGCGAAAGAGGAAGGGACGGCUAACUCUGUGCCAGCAGCCGCGGUAAUACAGAGGUCCCAAGCGUUGUUCGGAUUUACUGGGCGUAAAGGGUGCGUAGGUGGUGGGGUAAGUCGGAUGUGAAAUCUCCGAGCUCAACUCGGAAAGUGCGUUGGAAACUACCCUGCUCGAGGGUUGGAGGGGGGACUGGAAUACUUGGUGUAGCAGUGAAAUGCGUAGAUAUCAAGUGGAACACCAGUGGCGAAGGCGAGUCCCUGGACAACUCCUGACACUGAGGCACGAAAGCUAGGGGAGCAAACAG